rnacentral:pre_miRNA from 14 species
UCUUUGGAGACGAGGGUGGUCGCCGAUCCCGGACGAGCCCCCAGAUGAAAGAUCCCGGAGCCGGGAGACCCUCACUCAAGUCUUGGGAUGACGAGACCCCCCAAGAACUCACACAAGACC